CGCAGGCGCAGGAGCCCGCGUGCCUAGCCGGGGGCGGGGGCCGCAGGCAGUGGCGGCGGAGCCGGGGCCGGGGACCGGAGGAGAGAAAAGAGAUCCUGUUUGCUCCAGGGAAUGGGUUGGAAAAGAGAAAGCAGUGAUAGAGCCCGUGGGAGAGCGUCGCAGAAGCGCAGGUCAGCUUCUAAGAAUCAGAUGUUGGGGAAGACGCUCUGGAGACUGUGAGGCCGGAGUGGUGAACGUCGUCGUCGCAUCCACCGGAGUUCUAGGAGACUCCUGGAGGGAGGGCGCCGGAGAGAAGGAUGCAGGUCCGGGAUCUCAAGGGCGGUGAGCAGACAACAGACAACAACAGCGCUGCUGGCAGGACCCGGGCCGUGGAGGCAGAGCGCUUUCAAACCAGCGCGUGGGGCCAGCUGGAGCCCUGACCGACCCGGGGGUCUGGCCAGAAACCUGAGCGGGAAGGAAGGCCCUCCAGGCAGGCGGCUGUUGGGGAGACAGAGACACAGCCGGGCAGGCCCAAGACGGCCUUCUGCUCGGACCUGCAGUAGAAAGUUGGGACUCUGGGAGGAGCCGGCAUCGGGCAUGCGGCCCGUGGCUGCUUCUGUCAAACCCCGAUGCUCAAGGCAGCCCCGGGCACCUCCUGAGACAGG
rnacentral:lncRNA from 1 species